rnacentral:tRNA from 1 species
GUUGUGGCUCAGUGGUAGAGUGCUUGCCUAGCACAUGUGAGGCACUGGGUUUGAUCCUCAGCACCACA